rnacentral:rRNA from 1 species
AUUGAACGCUGGCGGCAUGCUUUACACAUGCAAGUCGAACGGCAGCACGGACUUCGGUCUGGUGGCGAGUGGCGAACGGGUGAGUAAUACAUCGGAACGUACCCAGUAAUGGGGGCUAACUAGUCGAACGAUUAGCUAAUACCGCAUACGCCUACGGGGGAAAGAGGGGGAUCGCAAGACCUCUUGUUAUUGGAGCGGACGAUGGCUGAUUAGCUAGUUGGUGGGGUAAAGGCCUACCAAGGCGACGAUCAGUAGCGGGUCUUAGAGGACGAUCCGCCACACUGGAACUGAGACACGGUCCAGACUCCUACGGGAGGCAGCAGUGGGGAAUCUUGGACAAUGGGCGAAAGCCUGAUCCAGCAAUGCCGCGUGCGUGAAGAAGGCCUUCGGGUUGUAAAGCGCUUUUGUCUGGGAGCAAAUCCUUGUGGCUAAUACCCACCGGGGAUGAGAGUACCAGAAGAAUAAGGACCGGCUAACUACGUGCCAGCAGCCGCAGUAA